rnacentral:tRNA from 1 species
GGCAAGGUGGUCGAGUGGUUAAGACGUAAGACUUGAAAUCUUAUCCCUUCGGGGUCGCGCGUUCAAAUCGCGUCCUUGUCG